AGAGAACUUCAACGCCCGAGCAGACCAGAGAAUCUUUGCAGCUAUGGCUACCCAAGGAAGAAUGGGUUCCCAUCAAUCCUCUUCUGGUAGGUUUCGGGCAGACUGUGUGCACUCCUCUUAGACCGCGUUGUGGGAUAUGCAAGAUAACUGAUUAUUGCCCGUCGGCCUUCAAAGAGACACCUAGCCCGUCGUCCACACCGACGAAAAAAUGGAGCAUUGAUGGAGUAGUUGCACUAAGGAUGUAGGCUUUUAUGUGACUCAAUUGUUUUGUUGGGCCUUCUUGUAAUUGUAUGUUGUGAAUGAGAAGGUAAUGUAGAGUUAAAACCCUAGUAAAUAGCCUUUACCUUU